UACGUAGGGGGCGAGCGUUGUCCGAAUUCACUGGGCGUAAAGCGCGCGUAGGCGGACCCUUAAGUUGGUGGUGAAAUGCCGAGGCUCAACCUCGGAACUGCCUUCAAAACUGGGGGUCUUGAGGUAUGGAGAGGGAAGUGGAAUUCCUGGUGUAGCGGUGAAAUGCGUAGAUAUCAGGAGGAACACCUGUGGCGAAGGCGGCUUCCUGGCCAUAUCCUGACGCUGAGGUGCGAAAGCUAGGGGAGCGAACGGG
rnacentral:rRNA from 1 species